rnacentral:rRNA from 1 species
UACAGAGGUGCCGAGCGUUAGGCGGAAUCACUGGGCUUAAAGCGUGUGUAGGCGGAUGCCUAAGUACCUUGUGAAAUCCCACGGCUUAACCGUGGAACUGCUCGGUAUACUGGGUGUCUUGAGCCACUUAGGGGCUACCGGAACAAAUGGUGGAGCGGUGAAAUGCGUAGAUAUCAUUUGGAACGCCAAUGGUGAAAACAGGUAGCUGGGAGUGUGCUGACGCUGAGACACGAAAGCUAGGGGAGCAAACAGG